rnacentral:rRNA from 1 species
CUGGCGGCGUGCCUAACACAUGCAAGUCGAACGAGAAAGUGGAGCAAUCCAUGAGUAAAGUGGCGACCGGGUGAGUAACACGUGACUAACCUACCCUUGAGUGGGGGAUAACCUCGGGAAACCGGGGCUAAUACCGCAUAACAUCGCAAGAUCAAAGGAGCAAUCCGCUGAAGGAGGGGGUCGCGGCUGAUUAGUUAGUUGGUGAGGUAACGGCUCACCAAGACGAAGAUCAGUAGCCGGCCUGAGAGGGCGCCCGGCCACACUGGAACUGAAACACGGUCCAGACUCCUACGGGAGGCAGCAGUGGGGAAUUUUGCGCAAUGGGGGAAACCCUGACGCAGCAACGCCGCGUGGAGGAUGAAGUCCCUUGGGAUGUAAACUCCUUUCGAUCGGGAAGAUAAUGACGGUACCGGAAGAAGAAGCACCGGCUAACUCUGUGCCAGCAGCCGCGGUAAUACAGAGGGUGCAAGCGUUGUUCGGAAUUAUUGCGCGUAAAGGGCGCGUAUGCGGUGCGGUAAGUCUGUAGUGAAAUCUCUGGGCUCAACUCA